UACAGGGGGUGCAAACGUUGCUCGGAAUCAUUUGGGCGUAAAGCGCACGUAGGCGGUUCGUUAUGUCGGAUGUGAAAGCCCUUGGCUUAACCGAGGAAGUGCAUCCGAAACUGGCGAGCUAGAGUACGAAAGAGGAUCGCGGAAUUCCGGUGUAGAGGUGAAAUUCGUAGAUAUCGGGAGGAACACCGGUGGCGAAGGCGGCGAUCUGGGUCGAUACUGACGCUGAGGUGCGAAAGCGUGGGGAGCAAACAGGG
rnacentral:rRNA from 1 species